rnacentral:hammerhead_ribozyme from 1 species
AUCCAGCUGAUGAGUCCAAAAUAGGAUGAAACACGCAUCCUGGAU